rnacentral:misc_RNA from 1 species
UACGGAGGGGGCUAGCGUUGUUCGGAAUUGCUGGGCGUAAAGCGCACGUAGGCGGUUUACUAAGCCAGGGGUGAAAUCCCGGGGCUCAACCCCGGAACUGCCCUUGAUACUGGUAGUCUUGAGGUCGAGAGAGGUGAGUGGAACUCCGAGUGUAGAGGUGAAAUUCGUAGAUAUUCGGAAGAACACCAGUGGCGAAGGCGGCUCACUGGCUCGAUACUGACGCUGAGGUGCGAAAGUGUGGGGAGCAAACAGG